rnacentral:rRNA from 1 species
UACAGAGGGGGCAAGCGUUGUUCGGAAUUACUGGGCGUAAAGGGUGCGUAGGCGGCCCUGUAAGUCAGUGGUGAAAUUCUUGAGCUUAACUGAAGGAUUGCCAUUGAUACUGUAGGGCUUGAGUACAGAUGAGGUAGGCGGAAUUGAUGGUGUAGCGGUGAAAUGCAUAGAUACCAUCAAGAACACCGAUUGCGAAGGCAGCUUACUAAGCUGUAACUGACGCUGAUGCACGAAAGCGUGGGGAGCGAACAGG